GGAAGCAUCAUAAACCAGAGCAGAGUGCUGUUUACUCUGAGGUGCAGACGGGAGCUGCAGAGGACAGUCUGAUGUAUGCUGAGGUCAAACAGCCCAAAAAAGAAAAAGCCAAGAAAAACAAAGGAAAAUCAAGUCCUGCAGCUGAUGCAGCAGUUUAUUCUGAAGUCACAUCAGGAAGCUCUCUCAGUCAGUGAGGAGAGCUGUAGCAGCAAAGCCAAGAAG